UCACCUUCCUCGUGCAGCUUAUCCAGAGAUUCCUGCUCAAUGUCAGCUUCAUCCUGCAAGGUAGCAAGGAAUUCCUCCACAAUCUCGUCCUCCUCCUGAAACUUAUUAAGGAAUUCCUGCACAAUACAAUCCUCAUCCAAAGCAUCAAAUGUUUCAACAUAAGAGCAGAUUUGAAUUAAGGAAGUGGGGGUAGUAGGUUUUUUAUCAAAAACUGAGAAUGUUACCGCUCUACCUACCCCUACCAUACUUACAGUUCCCGUACCCACAUCGAUGCGAGUAUGGGUG
rnacentral:lncRNA from 1 species